UACACGACUCUCGGCAACGGAUAUCUCGGCUCACGCAUCGAUGAAGAACGUAGCAAAAUGCGAUACUUGGUGUGAAUUGCAGAAUCCCGUGACCCAUCGAGUUUUUGAACGCAAGUUGCGCCCAAAGCCAUCCGGUUGAGGGCACGUCUGCCUGGGCGUCACGC
rnacentral:rRNA from 1 species